AGAGGACGUGAAAGAACGGUCGACCGUCGUCAAGGUGAAACUAAACUCCUCCGAUCACCGCGGGAACCUGCCGCGUCAGAAUCGAAGAAAAUGAAGCCCAACAUGAGAUUCUUUUGGAAAAUAAUCAUUUUAUAUAACAUAGUGACAGUCUAUGCAGGUUUUGAUGACCCUCGUAGAGCAAUAGAACUAAUACAAAAGCAACACGGCCAGCCUUGUGACUGCGGCGGGGGACAAGUAUCUGAACCUCCAUCAGACAGAAUCUUCCAAGUGACUUGCUCAGGCAAGACAGCUUACUUAAUGCCAAACCAGCUAUGGAAAUAUUUACUUUCUUCCUUGUUCUGCUGUCUCAUACGCCAGUACAAAA